rnacentral:lncRNA from 1 species
ACGGAGAGGGCUUUUUCAAUACUAAAUAAAGAGGCUUCGUUUGGAAUUACAGAAAGAUUGUGUUACGUACGGUGAGAAAUUACGAUGAGAUAAUAUCCUGUUUGUUUCUAUAUGUAAUAUUGCGUUCCGCAUAUUACGAUGAAUCGGUAAUAAUAUAUUUUCUGCUGUUCCAUUGAAGAAUACAGAAACAUAUCCCUACAUAUCUUUUUCUUAACUCUAUUUUAUUUAACAAUGUUAGAUAGAUCUCAAUAUCAAACUAAGCCAAAUAUGGUUAUUGAUGCCGGUAUAGAAAAUGAAAAUCCGAUAGAUUUGGAUUUGGGUAUGGAGUUUGUUUGUACUAGAUCCGAAUCUGAAUCCAAUCUAAACCUGAACUGAUUUUACAUUAAUUAUAUAAUAUAUAUGAAUGCUAGGUGUUAUUUUUAAAUUUGUAUUUUAAAUAUUUAAAUUAUAAGAUAAUAUAUUUUGAAAUAUGGUAAAGAGAAAUAGUUGUUUCAAGUUCGGAUUUGAAUUUCGGAUUUUUUUUUUUUGUCGGGUUCGGUUUUGAACAUAAAUUUUCAAAUCGUCGGGUUCGGAUUCAGGUUUCGUUUUCGGUUGUCGGUUCGGAUUCAAAUGUUUGAAACCAGUUCUAAAUCCAACCCAUUAGCAUUCCUGCCCGGCCUAAAUUCGACCUGUGGAUCACAUGCGUUAGCUAACUAUUCCAAAAGCAUGUGUUGACAGAAAGGGCACAACCAUCGCACUUACUCAUGGAUUUCGACUUCACUAAACUUAUCUAGACGUUAAAUUUAUUAUUGGAUCUCUUACCGUUAGGUCUAUUAUGAAUCACAAUUCCCACCCCACUCAAUUUAUUAAUAUUUU